rnacentral:rRNA from 1 species
GACGAACGCUGGCGGCGUGCCUAAUACAUGCAAGUCGAGCGAGACUCUUCGGAGUCUAGCGGCGGACGGGUGAGUAACACGUGGGCAACCUGCCUGUAAGACUGGGAUAAUACCGGGAAACCGGUGCUAAUACCGGAUAAUCCUUUUUCUCUCAUGAGGAAAAGCUGAAAGUCGGUUUCGGCUGACACUUACAGAUGGGCCCGCGGCGCAUUAGCUAGUUGGUGAGGUAACGGACCACCAAGGCGACGAUGCGUAGCCGACCUGAGAGGGGGAUCGGCAACACUGGGACGGAGACACGGCCCAGACUCCUACGGGAGGCAGCAGUAGGGAAUCUUCCACAAUGGACGAAAGUCUGAUGGAGCAACGCCGCGUGAGCGAUGAAGGCCUUCGGGUCGUAAAGCUCUGUUGUUAGGGAAGAACAAGUACCGGAGUAACUGCCGGUACCUUGACGGUACCUAACCAGAAAGCCACGGCUAACUACGUGCCAGCCGCCGCGGUAACAC